rnacentral:pre_miRNA from 1 species
CAACUACUCCCUCUGUCCCAAAUUUCUUGUCUUAGAUUUGUCUAGCUACGGAUGUAUCUAAUACUAAAAUGUGACUUGAUACAUCCGUAUCUAGACAAAUCUAAGACAAGAAUUUUGGGAUGGAGGGAGUACUUU